UUCUUUAGUGUAUUUACGUAAUGAUUUUAUUCCGAGGUUUGGAUGUCAAUAUGUGCCUUGAAUUGGAAAUUUGUUUUCAAUGUUGUAUUAUCUGGUAAGAGAACGCACAUAUAUACAUGUUUCGUUGUGUUUGUGCCUGGACUUUCUGCUGCGCAUUGAGCCUUUUAUUUGGCCUUCUUUAGAUUUUGGUCAUAUUGGUUUAGAACUUGACAUAUGAUCUUCUCUGUUGUAGAGUUGCAAGAUAUUCUUUCCAGUAUAUUAUCAGCCACUUGGGGCCAGAUAACUUGGACAAUUUGAUGAAACUGGCAGAGCAGUUCCAGAAGCAAGC